rnacentral:rRNA from 1 species
AUUGAACGCUGGCGGCAUGCCUUACACAUGCAAGUCGAACGGUAACGGGCCUUCGGGUGCCGACGAGUGGCGAACGGGUGAGUAAUGCAUCGGAACGUACCUUUCAGUGGGGGAUAACGUAGCGAAAGUUACGCUAAUACCGCAUAUUCUGUGAGCAGGAAAGCAGGGGAUCGCAAGACCUUGCGCUGAUUGAGCGGCCGAUGUCAGAUUAGCUAGUUGGUGAGGUAAAGGCUCACCAAGGCGACGAUCUGUAGCGGGUCGGAGAGGAUGAUCGGCACCACGGGGACUGAGAGACGGCCCAGACUCCUACGGGAGGCAGCAGUGGGGAAUUUUGGACAAUGGGGGCAACCCUGAUCCAGCCAUGCCGCGUGAGUGAAGAAGGCCUUCGGGUUGUAAAGCUCUUUCGGCCGGGGAGAAAUCGCACGGGCUAAUACCCUGUGUGGAUGACGGUACCGGAAUAAGAAGCACCGGCUAACUACGUGCCAGCCGCCGCGGUAACAC